UGACUCUGGUUUCCCUUUAAGCCGCAUAAUUUUUUCGCCUUUACUAAAGAUUUCCGUGGAGGGGAAGAACUCAAUGACCUUUAAGAAAUUUCUAUUGGGCUACCUAAAGGACUUCA